UUGGCGGACGGGUGAGUAACGCGUGGAUAACCUGCCGUAUACCGGGGGAUAACACUUAGAAAUAGGUGCUAAUACCGCAUAAGCGCACGGCUCCGCAUGGGGCAGUGUGAAAAACUCCGGUGGUAUACGAUGGAUCCGCGUCUGAUUAGCUAGUUGGCGGGGUAACGGCCCACCAAGGCAGCGAUCAGUAGCCGGCCUGAGAGGGUGGACGGCCACAUUGGGACUGAGACACGGCCCAGACUCCUACGGAAGGCAGCAG
rnacentral:rRNA from 1 species